rfam:Fomitiporia mediterranea MF3/22 unplaced genomic scaffold FOMMEscaffold_5, whole genome shotgun sequence.
GGUGAGAUGGCCGAGCGGUCCAAGGCGUUAGACUAAGGAUCUAAUCUCUUCGGGGGCGUGGGUUCGAAUCCCACUCUCAUCA